rnacentral:rRNA from 1 species
UAGAGUUUGAUCAUGGCUCAGAACGAACGCUGGCGGCGCGUAUUAAGCAUGCAAGUCGAACGGUAGAGCAUUUUUUUUAAGAUGUUUGAGAGUGGCGGACUGGUGAGUAACGCGUAGAUGAUCUAGCUUCAGGUUGGGGAUAGCCUAUGGAAACAUGGGGUAAUACCGAAUGCUGUUGUUGAUAGUAGGUUAACGAUGAAAGGAGCUACGGCUUUGCCUGAAGAUGAGUCUGCGUCUGAUUAGCUUGUUGGUGGGGUAAAGGCCUACCAAGGCGACGAUCAGUAGCCGGCCUGAGAGGGUGUACGGCCACAUUGGGACUGAGAUACGGCCCAGACUCCUACGGGAGGCAGCAGCUAAGAAUCUUCCGCAAUGGGCGAGAGCCUGACGGAGCGACGCCGCGUGGGUGAAGAAGGCCGAGAGGUUGUAAAGCCCUUUUCUCAUGGAGGAAUAAGGAAUGCAGGGAAUGGCAUUUUG